UUACCCAAUCACGACACGUGGAGGUAGUGACAAGAAAUAAAAAGCAAGCCAGUAUUCUGGUUUUGCUAUUGGAAUGAGUAGAAUUUAAAUCUCUUUACGACUAUCAAUUGGAGGGCAAGUCUGGUGCCAGCAGCCGCGGUAAUUCCAGCUCCAAUAGCGUAUAUUAAAGUUGUUGCGGUUAAAAAGCUCGUAGUUGGAUUUCUGUUGAGGACGGCCGGUCCGCACUAUGUGCGUGUAUCUGGUUCGGCCUCGGCAUCCUCUUGAGGAACGUUUCUGCGCUUGAUUGCGUGGAGCGGUAUUCAAGACUUUUACUUUGAGGAAAUUAGAGUGUUCACGGCAGGCAAGCGCCUUGAAUAUGUUAGCAUGGAAUAAUAAUAUAGGAUCUUGGUUCUAUUUGUUGGUUUCUAGGGCUAAGGUAAUGAUUAAUAGGGAUAAUUGGGGGCAUUUGUAUUAACGCGUCAGAGGUGGAAUUCUUGGAUUGCGUUACGACAAACUACUGCGAAAGCAUUUGCCAAGGAUGUUUUCAUUGAUCAAGAACGAAAGUAUGGGGAUCGAAGAUGAUUAGAUACCGUCGUAGUCUAUACCAUAAACUAUGCCGACUAGGGAUUGGAGGUCGUUCUUUUUAUGACUCCUUCAGCACCUUAUGAGAAAUCAAAGUCUUUGGGUUCCGGGGGGAGUAUAGUCGCAAGGCUGAAACUUAAAGGAAUUG
rnacentral:rRNA from 1 species